AUUUUUGUCCCCAACAUGUAUUUUAACUUCCUCAUGGUCAUAAGUUUAGUCUUCAUCAAUAAACUGUGACAGAACAGAGUUAUCGUUUCCCUCAAUCAUUUUCCCUCAUCAACCUCAUAACCCAUUCUUUAAGAAUCUAGAGGCACACUUUGCCAGAGCAUGACAGCUCGUUCUCAGGCUGGAAGCUCUUGUGGUUUCCAGGGCACUAGACAAGACCGAAAAAUCUCCAAACCAGCCUGGGCAAAUUGUCAUGCCCUGAGCAGUUUAUUAUCAACUUUUGGUGGUCAGAGUGCUAACUGUCAUUAGGCCCAAGGAAAAUCUUCAGGUCAAAGCUGCUACAGUUAGUAUUCAAUUUUGGACAUAAUACAAUGUUUUUAUAUUUGUGGAAUUCGUUUAUAUGUCUAAUCUUGGUAUGCUUUUGUUCCUUGGUCCCAGGACACCACAGUGGCCCUGCACAAGCUAACUUUUCUAAGGGAGGUCGGAAUACCUCAUUCCUUGUCCAUCAGUGUAAGACCCUGUGUAGGGCAGAGAUAACUCCAGCCAAUUUAACUUUGCUGUUGUAUCUUUUUCUGGGGUGGGGGGUGGGGUAUACUAUAUAUGCCCCCCAGUCUUAUGGGCCACGUAUCCGCCUAAGUGGAUAGGAAGAAGAGCCUUAUAACCUGAUCUGCCAACUUCUCUAGCCCACUGAAUCUUGUUUAUCUUCCUAAGUUUACCUUGUUCUAAUCAUC
rnacentral:lncRNA from 1 species